rnacentral:lncRNA from 1 species
UGGCUGCAGUCCUCACCACCUACCAAUAUAGACUAUCUCAAAAGGCCAAAAAAACCCAAAUUCAGAUGAAUGAUGGGACUCUACAGUAGGACGCAGCAUUGAAGAUACUGUUCAAGCUGAACCCCGAGAGGCUAAUUGUGAUUUCUCUUCUGGAUGCAAUUUUAAUUUUGAGCCUGUCUGUGGCACUGAUGGUAAUACCUAUCCCAAUGAAUGUCUUCUGUGUAUUGUAAAUAAGGGAAGAGAUGUUGAUGUCCUCAUCAAAAAAUCUGGGAAAUGCUGAGGAACCAAAAUAUCUUGGAGCACCUAGUAGGUGGUACCAAGGCUAGGCAGCCCAAUUUAUUAAUAAAUAUAUGAGACUAAUUUCUGUUUUUCA